UAUCGUUACACGGGUAAGAGAGAAGCGCAGGUAUACCGCCGAUGUGAUCCGUACGUACGAACUGGCUUCGUCGUCUCAGCUGGUUGCACGAGCAUCUGGAUAUGGUCAGUUUUGUACAAGAUCUAAAAGAGAACUUCCACGUCCGCGUCUCGAAACCGCUGCUCGGGGAUUAGAAUUUCAAAGAUUUCGGAGAAACGGAAGAACCGACGCCGACUUUUGGACGGUUAUUAUAUGUGGAAUCUAUUGACCUACGAUAUCCAAUCGAGAGCCAUCGAUCAGUCAUCUUCCAAUUUCAAACGAGAAGAUCAUCGACGCGUCGGAAUUCCUCAUACCGUAACGCGACGCGACGCGGCGAGAUUUCUCGAAUUAUUAUCAUUUCAUUACCGCGCUUAUGCCCGACGUAGACCGCGUGGCAGCGGAUCCCGCAGCUGGCAUACUAAUAACGUGCAUACAUAUAAAAUACAUGUACAAACAAUAAGCGAUGUUCGAGUAAAUAUAUAUAUAUACGUGGCUUACAGUUAUAUGUAUUUGAAAAUAAGGAAAUAAAGAAAAAAAAAAAAAAAAGAAAGAAAGAAUUUAUACUCGAAUGCGCGCCUCCGUCUUUCUCUUAAGAUUCGAUACGUAGUCUGCACCGCGGCGUCGUGCGGGGAUUUAUUUAUAAGUUUUCGGUUUAAAAGAUAGGAAGA